CACGGGAAACUUUGCCUCAAAACCACCAAAUUCACGAAGACUAACACAGGUAUGAGCAGGGUGCGAUAAUCGUGCCAAGAAAAAUACUAAUCUAACCCACAGACGAGCGGAUACACGGUCCAUAUUAUUCAAGACAAAUGGCUUCUUUGAUGGCACCCUCCUUGUAAUUAAACGAAAAGCCACUGCAGGGACGGUUCUCACUUGGCGCUGGCGAGCUGGGUGCGGAUGAGCUUGGCGGCAGAGACCAUGUUGGUUAGGGCGGGCUUGACCUCCGUGUACUUGCGGGUCUUGAGACCACAGUCAGGGUUCACCCAGAGGAUGUUGGUUUCGAGCACCGCAAGCAUCUUGUUGAUGCGGUCGGCAAUCUCCUCAGUGGAUGGGAUCCUGGGGGAGUGGAUGUCGUAGACACCAGGGCCAAUGCCGGCGCCGUACUUCACACCCUCACGGAAGACGGAGAGGAGCUUCUCAUCGGACCGUGAGUUCUCAAUGGUGAUCACAUCAGCGUCCAUGUUGAUGAUGGAGUGGAUGAUGUCGUUGAAGUUGGAGUAGCACAUGUGGGUGUGGAUCUGUCAAGAGAUAAAGUCAGUUGGAAAGUCAAAGGGCAUGGUAUGAAGAUAUGACACUGCAAGGCUCCACAGCACAGUUCGAAAGCAUACCUGGGUGGUGUCCUUGAUCUCGCAGUUGGUGAUUCUGAAAGAGUGAACAGCCCAGUCCAAGUAGAAAGCGUGCUCAGUCUUGCGGAGUGGCAGACCUUCUCUUAAAGCAGCCUCGUCAAUUUGGAUGACCUGCAAAGAAUAAUGAUGAAAUAAAUGAGCAACCAUAAACUGUGCAUAAACCUCUUGAUUAAAUGACAAACCAGAAUGUAAAAGUGCCAACCUGAAUACCAGCAGCCUCAAGAUCCUCAACCUCCUUCUUGAUUGCAAGAGCAAUCUGGUAGCAGGUCUCAAACCUGGAAGAUAUAAGCCAUAAGUCAGCCUCUAAACGGAAGAGGAAAAAAGAUGUUCUCGACAGCAUAAACUCCUGUCAAAAGUUACUGACCUUGGCUGGUCAUUCCUGACAAAGGACCAGUUAAGGAUUGUGACAGGACCAGUCAACAUUCCCUUCAUUGGGCGAGAUGUCAUGCUCUGGGCAGUGGUCGACCAGAAAACGGUCAUGGGGUUGGGGCGGCUCACAUCACCAUAGAUGAUCGGUGGCUUGACACACCUUGAUCCAUAGGAUUGCACCCAACCAUUGGCAGUGAAUGCAAAACCAGAGAGCUGCUCACCGAAGUACUCAACCAUAUCGUUUCUCUGUAAAACAUACGCCAACAGAAUUACUUAAAUGUGAGCACAGCAGCGCAGAAUAACUGAAUUUUUCUACAUAUGAGAUCAUAUUUAUUUUCUCAAACGCACAGCAAAAGCUAGCAGAAUAGCUUAAAGAGAACUGACCUCAGGCUCGCCAUGCACAAGCACAUCGAUGUCGAGCUCCUCUUGGAGCUUAACAACCUUGUUGAUUUCCUCCUUGAUGGCAGUGACAUACUCCUCCUCAGAGAUCCUGCAAUGCAUAUUUCCAAUAAGCAAAGCCGCCAACAUAGAGACAAGUGAAGCAUUAGAAUUAACUGUUACUCACUUCUUCGCCUUGUACUCACGGCGGACCCUCCUGAGCUCCACAGUCUGUGGGAACGAACCAAUUGUGGUUGUGGGAAGGACUGGAAGGUUCAGCUUCUUCUGCUGAGCAUCCAAUCUAGCACUAACGUUGGUAGCACGGCGGUGGUCAGAGCCCUUGAGAGCAGCAGCCUGUAACAGUAUAGAGAAAAAGGUUGGUGAGUGCCAACAUUGGAUUAGAAUGUGCAAGUAGAUUAGUCCCAGGUACUUACAGCCUUCUGAACUUCUUCAUUUGUCACACGGGGUGAUGACUUCCUUGACGCCUGAGCGGCAGCGUUUGCCGCAAAGUAAGCCUGUAGAUGACAUUUGCCAAAAUAAAUAGGGUCAGCAUAAUUUUGUAUGAAGAAGAAACCCUCAAGGUCCAGUUAAGAGAACAGAGAGAAAAAAACAGACAUACCUCAUCCUUUUGACCAGCCAAUGCUUUGGCAAGAGCAUCAACCUCAACCACCUUCUGAGCAGCAAAAGCAAGCCAAGACUUAAUUUCAGCAUCAAGCUUAGUCUCGUUCACAAGAUCCACAGCAGUGUGCAUGAGUGAGCAAGAAGUUGACACAACAAGCUUGUCUGAACAAAAUAGUAGGCAUUUAUCAGAUAUCGCCAGUUGUAACUAAAUCCAGCUUUAUGCCAGAGGAAAGCAUAUGCUUACCCUUUCCAACAACAGCCUCAAGGGACUGGAGAGUGCUGAGGGAUGCAGCAAGAUCAUCAGCCCAGAUGUUGCGCCCAUCCACAACACCAGCAAAGAGGUACUUGCCAGCCGGGAAACUACUCUUGACAAGAUCAAGAGUCUGGGCUCCACGAACAAGGUCAAAACCAUAAGCAGUAACACCGCUCAAAGAUGUAAGGGUCCUGCAUGCAAAAGGACAAUCAGUAUCCUGCCAAUACAAAAGGUGAUCAAGGAAAAAAGAAUAGUUGAGAAAAAGGUGCACUAGGAUUUAAUAACGUACUUGUAUGAUUCUGCGGGAACAUCAGCAAAGUAAGUCUCAAUAAGCACAUUCAAUCCAGAAAGGGCGGACUCAAGUUCUGUGUAUGCAGCGGAGAAUGCAGCCAAUUUUUGAGAAUCAAGGUCAAGGACAAGGGUGGGCUCAUCAAACUGAAUCCAUGAAGCACCAGCUGCCUUCAACUCAGCAAUGACCUCCCUACAACCAUCAUGCAUCAGUUUAUCAAUUUAAGACUUGAUGCCAGCAGUAAUUAGUAACUUGCUUAUAAUCUUAAUCUUACUUGUAGACAGGGAGGAUGCCACUAAGAAGGGAAAGAAGAGGGAAUCCCUUCUCCACACCCUUGGCAGCCUUCGAGAGCAACAAGUAUGAGACUGGUCCAGUAAGU
rnacentral:lncRNA from 1 species